UACGGGGGACUAAUGUUCGUGACUCAAUUUUCCCUUUAAUAGAGGGAAUACGGGCGUGCUAAGGUUAGAAAGCCAAACUCGUCCAUAUCCCACAUCCAAGGGGUUACUCCCUAACCUAUGCAAGCAAAUGAGCUAGUCUAAAAUAAAAAUGCAACCCCAAAUAUGUAAGGGAAAGGUUAGGGGAUCAUGUAGACAUGAGAAAUAUUAAAAGGAAUGAAAUGUAGUGAAGGCAAGCAAGUAUGCACUAGCGAAAGAGGACGGCCCUAUUGGGUCUAGCAUUGGGCUAGCCCUUCACUAACGCUCUCUCACAAGCAUUGGACUUGCGAGCUUGAGGGGAAGACCAUGACUAGCAUUGGAUCAGCCACGGUAACGUGCAUCUACAUCCACCAUAUAUAAUCAAUAGGCAUGGUUAAAGCAAGUAGGCAUGUGACACUUGUCCCAAUGCAUGCCUGUUACUUGACCAUAUAUUUUGCCUUGUUGUCUAAUACCCCAAAGGGACACUUGUCCCAAUGCAUGCCUGUCACUUGUCAUUUUUUCUUCUUUUUUCUUUCUUUUUCUCUCUUCUUCUUUUUUUUCCUUUUUUCCUGAAAUUUAGUAUGAAGGCAAAAUAAAUAAUAAAAUAAAAAUAAAAUAAAAUAAACCUAAAAUUGAAACAAAUAAAGCUAAAAUCAAAUAAAGUUUGAAAAUAAAAAAUUUGGUGUCUACAGCCACCUGUGAUUCAGUUGGUUUAUUGUAUACUCUCUGGUCAACACCAGGCAGAGUACGCAGAAUUAUCUUAUAGCUAGCUAAAUUAGGAACAUUGCUUAAGCCCCUAAAAAGUUUUGCAUAUGGAUUGUUCUCAAGGACAAUCAUGAUUUUUUUAAUUACAUUUUCUAAUAGCCUUGGACAGGCAGCUUUACAGUUAGAAAGCUCAUUUUCAGCAUCAUGAAAGUACAAUUGCAUGUUACUGACUGGAUUGCUAGCAAGUGUCAAGUUAUUCAGAAAAUGAUGCACUUAUCCUUGUACUUUAAAUGUAUACACUUCUUUGUUUCGUUUAGAAAGAUUCUUAUCACAUUUAACACCAAAAGAUGUGAAUCCAAAGUGAUUAAUGUAAGUUCUAAUCAACUACCUAAAUGUUUCUGCUUCCUCAGAAGAUGAAGUUAAGAGUUCUCUCAAAAUAUCUAGAAGAUUAUUCUGCAUGACGACUAUAUCGCCAUUAGCACAGCAAAAGUUUGCCAUCUCUGAGUAAAACUUUUUAGCUCCACAGUGCAAACAGUCCUUUUGUUUUGGUAGAAUACCAAGAAUGUCAACUAUAUAGUCUAACAAAUCUCUUCCUUUCUUAGGAGUGGUUCCUAAAGUAAAACAAUAAAUAAUAAUUGACUGCAUUAGAAACCUCUAUAGUAAGGUGUUUUUUUAAUUAAGAUAAAGUAAAAAAUAUUGACUAUAACUUGAAUGUUUUCUUUUUCUUUGGCAUAUGUUUUGCCGUUCAUAGGACAGUUGCAUUGCUUCAUCUUGCAAUGAUUGAUUUGACACAUAAGAUCACAAGAUCAUAAUUUUAGUAAAUAUGAUACCAAGCAGAUGAUACACUAAAUUUUUUAUGAGUGGUAAAAGGAAUUACCUCUAUUAUGGUCCAUAGGUGUAGCAAUGUUUUCAGAAUUUCUUGAUGGCUGGAUAUACUCUCGCAUAUGGUUAUGCUCCUAGUACAAAUAGCCUGAGUAGGCUGGACAGUUUCAUUGUGAAACUUUUUAGAGUACUAUCUAAUAUAUGUUUAUUGCCUAUUUUUAGUAAGUCUAAUACUGUCAUUGUUUUGAGCUUCAGAGGCAUCUUGCAGAUGUUCUCUAUCAAUAUCUAAUAGAGAAAUGUUGACUGGUUCAGUAGAAGAUUGCUUCUUCAUUUGAAAAUGAUAUAAGCGCAAUAUUUUUUAUUUCCAUCUAAGGUAAGCCAGCUUUCUAUAGUUUUUCUCCUCUAAAUGGUUACCUAAACGUGGCAAGCUUACAAAAGCAACGUGUUGUAAUUAGACAUCAUGGCAUAACUAUGUGUAGUAGCCUAUUUGCCAUGUAGAACAGGAAUAAUAGCGGUUGAUCUACACAUUGAACUUUUGAAAUUUUGGUCUUGGACUUGCAUGCUACAAUUUCCUAAUAUUGGUUCGCAUAAAAUUUGUCAUUGCAUCCUUUGUCAGUUGAGUCAAUAAUUAUGUUUGUCUAAUUCAUUUUUUCCUUUCUUUUGACUAUCAAAAUUUAACUCAUAAUGAAACAGGCAAUCAAUUAUCUUAGUUAUGCAUUAAAUCUUGCAUAUGAACAAUUAGCUUAGACCAAGCAGUUUGAAAGAUCAUUACCAGAUUUCACAAUCAUAGGCACACAGUAUAUAUGAUUCAAUAGUAAGCAGCUACCAAUGCUUAUGAAAUUAGGAAAUAUCAAUUAAACUUAGCGAGCAUUUUAUCAAACAUUAGGCAGGCUAGUUAUGAGUAAUAUGACUAACCUGAAGUAAAGUGAUGGUCCAAGCCAAAAUCUUCAAUACUGAAGGCAAUGCUGCAACAUGAAAAUAGGAAACAUGUAAAAGAAACUAUGUGUUACUACAAUAAGAUAUAAAUGCAUAUACGUGAUGAAGAAAAGGCUAAGAAAAAUUGUAUUACCAAAUGAUCAGAAAGCAAGAUAGUGAAGGAAGAUUUCUUUCUGCUAUGUGCGAACAAAAAAGAAAUAAAGCAGAACAGCAGCUAUUAAUGAAUGUAGUAGUGUGGACUAUACUACUCAAGGCUGAACUAUUCAAUGUUUGUUUGUUGAUAAUAAUUUCGUCUAAAAAGGUAGUUUAUGAAAUGAUGUGAGACGCGGAAGCUACUUCGGAUCUAGAGAAACACGUUGAAGAUUUGAUGGCGUUGAACCCGAACUUGGACCACUCAAGAACAGAUGUAACGGUAGAGGACGCCACAAUCAAGUGUGUGUGCUUGAUUGAUAAGUCAAGAAUAGCCUAGGAUCAACUCUAGGAUGUUCAACUUAACUUUCACAAGCUAAGGGAAUUUGCCCCAAGGAAUGGACGAAAUUCUGGAAAUUUUAUUCAAUACUCUCAAAAACUGAAUGCAACAUAUGACUUGAGGCUAUUUAUAGCCGCGCCUAAGACAUAAUAAACUGAAAAAAUAACAAGGAAAGUUCGGCCAGCCCCCUUGGGCCUUCAGCGAGGGUACUUAACUGCGGCUCAACCCGCCGUUCGGAGCUUGAACACUUGCAUCUUCUAUUGUAAGCAGCAUUUUAGUAGUUGUGUAAGGAUCUUCCAACGAUCUUUCAAGUCAAUUCCUUCAAUGGCCGGUUUCUCUUGGACUUGGACGGCACGAUCCAAGGCUUGGAGGGACUCAUUGAAUCUCUUAGCUCGUGCUUGUGUCAAUGGGCCUUAGGGCACCUUCACAGGGUCUACUUGUUCACUAUGUGCCUCGCGCUCAACCGCAUCAUUCCCUCCUCUUGAAAAGGAUUUGUCCUCAAAUCGUACUCGUCAUCUACAAUAAAUGGACUUAGAUCAGUAACAUUGAAUGUAGCACUAACAUUAUACUCACCAGGCAGAACUAAGCGGUAUGCAUUGUCGUUGAUGCGCUCAAUGACUUGAAAAGGCCCAUCUCCUCUUGGUGACAGCUUGCUUUGCCGUUGUUUUGGAAAUCUCUCCUUGCGCAAAUGUAACCAGACCCAAUCACCUGGUUCAAAGACAAGCUUGCGCCUGUGCUUAUUAGCUUGUUGGACAUAUUGGGUUGUCCUUCUCUCAAUGUUGGUACGAACCUUGUCAUGUAAUGAUCUCACGAACUCAGCUUUCUUCUUGUCAUCUAAGUUCAUAUACUCAGAAGAAGGUAAUGGCAACAAAUCUAAGGAAGUUAAGGGGUUAAAACCAUACACAACUUCAAAAGGCGAGAAUUGUGUAGCACUAUGCACAACCCUAUUGUAUGCAAACUCAACAUGAGGUAGACACUCCUCCUAUGACUUGAUAUUUUUCUUUACGAUUACACGUAGGAGUGUGGAUAAAGUCCUAUUGACUACCUCAGUUUGUCCGUCCAUUUGAGGAUGACUAGAGGUAGAGAACAAUAGUUUGGUUCCCAACCGACCCCAUAAAGAUUUUCAAAAAUAGCUCAAAAACUUGACAUCUCUAUCGGAUACUAUAGUCCUAGGUAUGCCAUGCAAACGAACAACCUCUUUAAAGAAUAAGUCAGCAAUGUGCAAAGCAUCACCCGUCUUAUGACAUGCAAUAAAGUGAGCCAUUUUGGAGAAUCUAUCUACCACAACAAAUAUAAAGUCAUGGCCAUGCUUAGAACGAGAUAAACCAAGCACGAAAUCCAUGGAAUUAUCAACCCAAGGUUGAUAAGGUAUGGGUAAAAGAGUAUACAAACCAUUUGGGUUGACCCGAGACUUAGCUUUGUAGCACACGCCACAUCUUUCAACAAUCCUCUCCACAUCCCUGCGCAUGCGAGGCCAAUGGAAGUGUUCCUGCAAUACAACUAAUGUUUUGGUGACACCAAAGUGCCCAAUUAGUCCACCAUUAUGUGACUCUUGAAUAAGUAAGUCACGUAUGGACCCUCGAGGAAUGCACAACUUGGUAAGAUAAAAUAAGAACCCAUCAUGCACAAAGAAUUUUUCAAAGUCAGAUUUUCCCCAAUUCGCAUAAGCUUUCGCAAAAUCCAAGUCAUCCUUAUAUAACUCCUUCAUGAGCUCAAAGCCUAGGAGUUUAGCAUCUAAAGCAGUGAGCAAAACGUGUCUACGAGAUAAAGCAUCAGCCACUACAUUAGACUUACCUAUUUUGUAUUUGAUGACGUAUGGAAAAGACUUGAUGAAGGCUACCCAUCGGGCAUGCCGUUUGCUCAGUUUUUGUUGUCCUUUUAGGUGCUUGAGAGAUUCAUGGUCAGUUUUAAUGACGAAUUCCCGAGCACGUAUGUAGUGUUGCCAUGUCUCCAAAGCACGUACGAGAGCAAACAUCUCCUUGUCAUAAAUUGAAUAGUUGAGGACCGCGCCAUUUAAUUUCUCACUAAAGUAGGCGAUCGGUCUCCCUCCUUGCAUGAGUACGGCUCCUACUCCUACACCUGAUGCAUCACAUUCCACUUCAAAAGUGAGAUCAAAGUUAGGUAUUGCAAGUAGUGGUGCAUGUGUGAGUUUAUGUUUUAGCAAUCGGAAAGCCUUAUCUUGGACUUCCCCCCAAAAGAACUUCUCAGUCUUCUUUAUGACCGCGGUAAGAGGUAUAGCAAUGGUGCUAAAAUCCUUCACAAAACAACGGCAGAAACUUGCUAAUCCAUGAAAACUGCGCACAUCACUUACAGAGGUAGGUGUUGGCCACUCUUGGAUGGCCUUAAUCUUCUCUUCAUCUACAUGAAUGCCCUGUGCACUUACAACAUAUCCUAGAAACACAACAUGAUCAGUGUAAAAUGUGCACUUCUUAAGGUUGGCAUAUAGCCUUUCCCUUCGAAGUACUUCAAAGAUGGCUUUGAGGUGCUCAAGGUGUUCCUCUAAAUUUCUACUAUAAAUCAGAAUAUCAUCAAAGUAAACUACUACAAAUUUCUCAAGAAAUGUCACAAAACAUGGUUCAUUAAACACAUGAAGGUACUAGGUGCAUUAGUUAAGCCAAAUGGCAUUACUAACUACUCGUAUAGACCAUGUUUAGUUUUGAAAGCGGUUUUCCACUCAUCUCCCUCUUUCAUUCUUAUUUGGUGGUAUCCACUUUUUAAAUCAAUUUUAGUAAAGAUAAUGGCACCAUGCAAUUCAUUUAACAUAUCAUCUAAUCUAGGGAUAGGGUGACGAUAUUUUACCGUGAUUGCAUUGACUGCUCGACAGUCGGUGCACAUUCUCCACGCUCCAUCUUUCUUUGGCACGAGAAUCACUGGUACAGCACAUGGACUUAGACUUUCUCUAGCCCAACAUUUCCUUAGCAAUUCCUCCACUUGCCUUUGCAAUUCCUUUGUUUUCUCAGGACCCAUUCUAUAGGCCGGUUUGUUAGGCAAUGGUGCUCCAGGAAUGAGAUCAAUUUGGUGCUCGAUUCCCCUUAGCGGUGGUAGUCCAUCAGGUACAUCCUCAGGAAAUAUGUCCUCAAAUUCCUGCAAGAGAAGUAAAAUAGUAGAAGGCAAGGAGUCAGUGGGUAUGGAUGAAAUGAACAACUCUUCUUUGCAUAGAAACAUAAGUAAGAGUUGGUUGGAAGACAAAACUCGCUUUACAUCUUUGGCUUUUGCUAGCAAGCUUAACUUCCCCUUAUUUUCUUCUCUCAUAACUGACCCACUUGUUGCCUUUUUCUUCCCUAGGGGUUCGGCCCUACUCUCUUCUUUUUCUUCCUCACUUUUCUCUCGCUUUUUCCUCUCAAGUUCUAGCUCAUACUCCUUUUGGAGCCUCAUUUGAUCUUCAUACACUUGUUUUGGGGUGAGAGGUACAAGCGUCACCUUUCUAUUGCAAUGAGUAAAGACAUAUUUAUUAGCCCUUCCCUUGAAUUCGACAUCGCGAUCAUAUUGCCAAGGCCAUCCAAGAAUGAGGUGACUUGCUUGCAUUGGCACAACAUCACAAGUAACCUCAUCUUCGUACUUGCCAAUUCGGAAUGGCACUUUUACUUGUCUAAACACACGGACUUUCCCUUCAUUGUUCAACCAUUGAAGGCAAUAAGGUCUUGGAUGUUUGAUAACUGGGAGCCCUAACAUUUCUACCAUGAGUAGAUUAGCUACAUUGGCACAACUCCCACUAUCAAUAACAACACUACAUAUCUUAUCCUUGAUAUGACACCUUGUGUAGAAAAGAUUAUCUCGUUGUACCUCCAUUUCUUCCUCCUUGGCGUGGGUAGUGAGGACCUUUCAAAUCACUAGGCAUCCAAUCUCCUCAUGCGUAGGUAUCUCCCCACUCGAUUCAUUCUCUUCCUCCUCUAGAGGCGGCAUCCCCUCGUACUCCUCUUCCUCGUCCGAUACAAUUUUCCCAUUUGGCAACAUGAGCAUGGUCAUUUGGUUGGGGCAUUGAGAAGCGAUGUGGCCAAAUCCUUGACACUUAAAACGCUUGGUGUCUCGGCCACGCGGUUUGGAAGCUCCAUUAUUAGUCUUAAAGUUAGGCUUGGCCGUUGCCUUGGAAGGGAGGCCAUUCGGCCUUGGAGGGUGAGAAGGAGCUGCAACCUUCUCCUCCCUUUUUGGUUGAGAAGUGCGCCAAUUUUCAGCUUGAUAAGUAGUGCUUUAUCGCGCACUACCCCUCCUCUUGAGGCGCCAUUCAACUGUGACCGCCUUCUCGAGCAUUUCAUUCAUGUCGAGGUAGAGUUGGAGUUCCACUACUUCAGCAAUCUCGGACCUCAAUCCAUGUAGAAAACGAGCCAUAGUAGCCUCUCCAUCUUCAUGCAAAUCCGCCUUCAUGAUGGCCAUUUCCAUCUCCUUGUAAUAAUCCUCAACUGACAUGGACCCUUGGUUGAGAGCUUGUAGCCGACGGUGCAGAUCUCGGCUAUAGUAGCUCGGAACGAACCUUUUUCUCAUCAAGCUCCUCAUUUCCUCCCAAGUUUCCACAGGUCUCUCACGAUUUCUCCUUCAGCUUAGUCUAAGUUGGUCCCACCAAAUGGAGGCGUAGUCAGUGAAUUCUACGGCUACUAGUUUCACCUUUUGCUCCUCCGUAUAGGUGUGGCAUUCAUAGACUAAUUCAAUUUUCCGUUCCCAUUUCAAGUACGCCUCAGGGUCUGACUUGCCUUGGAAUGAAGGAAUCUUGAGUUUGACACAUUUAAUGGUGUCGUCUCCUCAACGUUGGAACCUUUGAUCAUGUUAGUACCUUCCCUCAAACGCUUCCUCUUCAUCAUUUGAACAUGUCGAUUCUUUGCCCUUACCCGAGGUAGAUGGAGGUCUCGAGUUCUCCAACUGAUCAAUCCGGUCAUGCAAUGGCUCAAUUUCAUUCUUAAGCAAUCGUUUGAACUCUCUCAUCAUGGCUUCCAACUGUAGUUUGAUGUCCACGGUUUGGUCACCAACUUCACUAGACAUAUUUAGUUCACCUGCAAAACAAAUAAACAAAAUGAGUUCCUCUCUCUUUUUUUUUAUACAAUGUAUAGGUCACUCACACUCGUGUUUCACUCAAAUGUAUCUCUCUCUAAUAAUUCUCACCAAGCAAUUCCUUGGCUUGCUAGUUGCUCGGGUUGAACAAACUAGGCGUCACCGCAAUAUACAUUCUUGACUAGUCAACAAGUGACACACAAGCUAGUAGCAAUAAAUGGAGGUGAAUGAAUGAAGACCUAAACACGACUCAAGACUCAAAAUAUAGCUGUACAAUAACUAACGACUCAAAAGAAAGCAAGACAAUUAACUUGAAUGCUGAAAUUUUGAAAUUCCUAGAAAACUCUACCUGAAACCCAAUUUUCUGGAAUUUGUUGAGCUGCUGGUCCGAGGUCUUUUUGGUAAGGGUUUUGGAGUAUUUUGGGUGGCCUUAGGCUGGUCAAAUAAUGGGCAAUCUACUACCCAAAACGCUGCCCAAUCGGGUGUCACAAUUGCUCCAACGGUUUUAGGAAAAUUCAAGAAUUCAAGAUUCGGAAUUGGAAAGUUUGAUCUGAUUUGGACACUUGGGGUUGCCAAGGAUUGGAAACCUUGGAGUCUGGUUAGAUUUGGGAAUCCCAAGUGGUUGAAAUUCGAAAUUUUUUGGGGUUGGUCAGAUUUUGCACCAAAUUUGAUAAAACUUGUAAGCUGUCAAAAAUAGGAAACUUAGGAUUUCUUUGACCUUUGUUGUAGCCGAUUUUUUUAGCUGGUCAAGAAUUGGAGGUUGUUCAGAUUUGGAAGUCCAAGUUUGAAUCAAAUUUGGUGGCUUGAAGGCUGACCAAGACUAGGGCUGUUCAGAUUUGAAAGUCCAAGUUUGAAUCAGAUUUGGUAAAACUUGGAGACUGGUCAAGAAUUGGAAACUAGAGCUGUCUUUCUUGAAUUUUUUUUUUGACUUCUGUUGGGGUGUUUUCACACAAUAAUAGCCAGCCAGUUUAGACCACAAUCUCAAAGCAAUUAACGUAAACAACUUGGACAGAUUUAGUUUCAAAAUCAAAGUUCCAUAAAAACAAGAACACGGUUGAAGGGAUUUGGUUUCAAGAUCAAAGUCCCAUGAAAAUAAGAACACGGUUGAAGGUUUAUUUCAUGUUUCAAGACUGCCAAGAUUAACCUCUGGUGAUCCAAGAAGCUCAAGACUUCCCCAAUAAGGUUUUGAUGUUCGAGUUUUGCAAGGCAACAACACAAAGGUUCAAGAAACAAGUGCAAACAGAUUCGGCAACCCAGCAAAUUAAUUCCAGCAACGACUCAAGGGAAUGACAACAAGGUAUGCAACACAACAGAUUUUUUUUUUUCUUGUUGGCUAAGUCACGACUAACCAACACAACAGAAUUUUGGAUUUAAAUAGAACAUAAACACAAGACAAAACUGGACAGAAUUUUUCGGACAACAACUAAACAACAAAGACAGAUUUGUGACAAGGAACCAACCAAGACAGAUUUCGGAUUUGACAAACCCGAACACUUGAGCUACGAAUUUAGAAGACUAAAACAGAUCUAAAAACAAUAAAAAGGGAUAUACGUGAUACCUCUAACCAGCUCUGAUGCCAGUUGAUGCCAGACGCGGAAGCUACUUCGGAUCUAGAGGAACACGUUGAAAAUUUGAUGGCGUUAAACCCGAACUUUGACCACUCAAGAAUAGAUUUAACGAUAGAGGACGCCACAAUCAAGUGUAUGUGCUUGAUUGAUAAGUCAAGAACAGUUUAGGAUCAACUCUAGUGUAGACACCAAAUUUUUGUCAAUUUUUAAUAUUUUCCUAAAUUUUUAUCUAUUUAAUAAGUAUCUAUUAUUAUUAUUAUUGUUAUUGUUAAUGUGUAAUUUUCUCAUUUUUGCAGGUUUAUUUUAGAAAAAAAAAGAGAAAAAAAACAAACAACAAAAAAAACAAAAAAAGAAAAAAGGAAAAGUUAAAAAAAACAAAAAAAAAUCAAAAAUCAAAUCAAAUCAAAAUCAAAUUAUUACAAAACUUACACAUUUUCAUCAUUUUUCCUACCAAAAAACACUUAACCCAUUCCUACACUCAACUUUCUUGUCAUCUGGUAAAAAAUAAUCAUUUGGACCAAAUACACACACAAGCUCCUCUUUUUCUCUCCCAAUAUGGUUUCUCUCGGCUGGCAGACAAAAAAAAAAACACUCGACUCUUUCUCCCUCUCAAUAUACAUCCCUCGGCCCUUUCUUUGACUCUCACCAGAAAACACACAAGAGCAAAGCUCCCCAUUUUGGCCUUCCUUAAGCUCUCCACGGACAGAAAAGGAUAGACGAAGGAAACUUUGGGAGCCAGGGAGAUACGCUCAAGGUGUGGAAAUUGUAUUAAACCCUUUGGUUAAGGAACUACCACUUACACUGAGGUAUUUUCUAGUUUUCUUUCUACCAUAUUACAAUCCAUGUUUCAAUGUCUAAUUUCUCUUGUUUUUGCUUUUUUUUAUUAUUGUUGUGGUUGUAUAUUAAUUUCUCUUGUUUGCUGGUUUUUAUUGUUGUUGUUGCAUUGCCAAAAUUUGGGAAAUGGCAUGAACCAGAUGAAGGAAAAGGAAAUGUUUCUCAUGCAUGCAUGCUAAAUAUUUGAUGAAAUGCCAAAACAAAAAAAAAUGAAUUUUAGAAACUGUUUUGUCUUAAUGUAGUCUUUUGUUGUUGUUUUCUUGCUAGCUAAGAUUAUAUUUGUAAUGUAAAGAUUAUAAGGAGUAUUGUAAUAUGUUUUUAUGAAUUUUUUGGUGAAGGUUUAAAGGUCUAAAAAUAAUAAAAAUGCAGCUGUUUUUUGGCCAUUUGGUCACUUUUCUUUCUUCUUUUUGUAAAAACUAACUCCGAAAAUGGAACCUACGCGAAAAAUGGAGUGGGGAGGUGUAUUUUGAGAAAUUUUGAUCACCGGAAAGGUCGCCGGCGGUGGCGGUCCGGUGGCGGCGGCGCCACCGGCGGCCACCAUGGCUGCCAGCUGAAGCUUCUUCGGUUGGCCGAAGAAGAAGGAAAGUAAACGUAUGGGGAAGAAAAGAGAAAGAAAAGAAAGAAAAGAAAAGAAAGAAAAAAAAAAAGGGGGAUUGGGCUAAUGUUUAGUUUUCGGUUGGGCCAAGAGCUAGUUUUGUUAGGUUUUGGGGCUGGUCUUUGGUUUAUGUUUCUUUUGGGUUUCGGUUGGGCUAGGAGGUUGGAGCCCAUGUGUUUUUGGCUGGGUUUGAGUGAUAAAAGACGGGCUGGCCUGUGUGUUUUGGCUUGGGCUUUCAGUUGGGUUUAGAUAGGUUCGGCCCAAGUAAAAUAAAAAGGGAGGCCCGAUGCCCUUUUCUUGCCCAAAUCAGAAACGAACUUGCACUUUAGCCCCUGAUUUUUGGAGUACUUUCAUUGCGGCCCAGAACAUUUUAAAUUCCUUUCAGCUCGGUCCUUAAUUUAAUUGCACUUUGGUCCCUGAAUUUUAUCUUUCAUUUAAUUUUGACCCCUGAACUUUGAAAAAUAUAAUUUUUGUCCCCCAAAAGUUUUCAAUUUUUGCAAUUCAAUCCUUGUCAAAUUUUGGCUCUCUUUAUUAUGAUUGUUUCUUUUCUUCAAUAACUAAUUAUGUUACUUUUGAACAUAUUCAAUUUGUAAUUUUUAGAUGUUUUAAAUUUCUUUAUGUUUGACAUAUUAGUGUGAGUUUAGUACUUUUAUUAUUAUUGUUUUUUUCAAUUAAAUUGGUGCCAUGAUUCUUUUGUUCAUUGUGAGUAUAAAUAGGACAGUUUGACUCCAUUUAGUCACCACUUUAAACGGGAGAUACCCCUAUUUUUAUUAUUUCAAUGUCAAUUACGCGCUCUUAUGUGCUCCUAUGUGUUUAUAUUUUUAUAUGCUUUAUUUAUUUGAUUUAAAUACUCAUUCAAAUUUUCUUAUAUAUGUUUUAGUUAAUUUUGACAAUGAUUCAAGAGACAUUUAAAUACCUCAAAAAUGUAAUAGAUAGGAUAAUUAGAUUUGUUUUAUUAUAUUUUUUCCUUCUACAUUGUAGUUAGGCGCUCCCCGAUGUAAUAGAUAGGUUGCGUGUUUAUGUGGUUUAUGUGUUAUGUGUUUUAUCCGCUUUUCUUAGGAUUUUGGCAUCUAGAUAUUAUGUUUACGUGUUAUGUGCUACGUGCUCUUAUGUGUUUAUUUGUUUUAAUUUAUGUUUUAUUUGUUUCACUAUGAAUUGUUAAUGCAUGACGUCACUACACUAGUCCAACGCUAGUUGUGGUUUCUCCCUUCGCUUACUUGCUAGUCCAACGCUAGUAAGGAUUUUUAGAAAUGAGCUAGUCCAACGCUAGACCCUUUAGGUCAUCUUGUGCUAGAUUCAUCUUUAUAUGCUAUUCACUACAUUUUCAUGCAUAUUUUCAUUUUUAGGAUCUUUUCUUAUUUGCAUGAUAUUCCCUAUUAUAUUAUCCCCUACCCGCUAUAGGUGCUAAUCAUGUCAUUUAGAAUUGCAUCUCAUUUAAGCUAGUUCAUUUGCUUGUUCAUGUUAGGAUAAUUAUUUUUCAAACAUGGGAAAUGAGUGAUUAUAACUUUCUAGUUUAAAUACCCUAUUAAUCCAUGUAAGAGAAAAUUAUGUUACGAGUUUUUCCGCCUCCCGUACCCUUUAUGUUGCAUUCCCUUUUUCUUUGAUCACUUAUAUAUAUGUAUAUAAUUUAAUUUCUUUUCUUUUACUUUAUUUUCUUUUUUCAUCAUUUGCAUCCUCGUGACACCUUCAAGGAUUCAUUUUUGGCCUUCGCAAUAAAUGUGAUUGGUUCAAUUAAACUCUUGAAUGAACAUUUUGUCCCUUUCGAUAUUUUAUUUUUGCAUUCAUGUAGAAAACAUUCAAAUAUGAUAAAAUUAAGGGUUAGAUUAGAAAAAUUUUGACUAAACCUCGCAACUAGCUUAGACUAAGUUGAAAGGGUGCCUUAGGUUUGAGUUAAUCGAACCUUUGCCUUCCCUUUCUUCAACCGUGACUCCCGAAUCCGUUUUCUUUUGUUUUUCAAAGACCUGGAGUUGUCAAAAAGGGUUUUAUUUUAUUUUACUUUAUUUUUUGGGUGACUUGGUACACCAAAACUUCAUACCAAGUGGUGACUCCUAUUUUUACUAAAAAACCCCUUUAGACUAAAUUUUGGACCCAAAUUGUCGCAUUUUUUUAAGUCCCAUUCUAGGUCCCUUUUAACUUGUUUUAAAAUAAAAUCACAUCUUUUAUAAAUCUCACACUUUAUUUUUUAUUUUCAUCGUGAAAAAUGGGGCGCGACAACUCUAGGAUGUUCAACUUAGCUUUCACAAGCUAAGGGAAUUUGCCACAAGGAAUGGACGAAAUUCUGAAAAGUUUAUUCAAUACUCUAAAAAACUGAAUGCAACAUGUGACUUGAGGCUAUUUAUAGCCGCGCCUAAGACCUAAUAAAUUGGAAAAAUAACAAGGAAAGUUCGGCCAACGCCCUUGGGCCUUCAGCGAGGGUACUUAACUGCGACUCAACCCGCUGUUUGGAGCUUGAACACUUGCAUCUUCUAUUGUAAGCAGCAUUUUAGUAGUCGUGUAAGGAUCUUCUAACUCAAUUCCUUCAAUGGCCGGUUUCUCUUGGGCUUGGACGGCACGAACCAAGGCCUGGAGGGACUCCUUGAAUCUCUUAGCUCGUGCUCGUGUCACUGGGCCUUGGGGCACCUUCACAGGGUCUACUUGUUCACUAUGUGCCUCGCGCUCAACCGCAUCAUGAAAGCUAAUAUAGUACUUUGUAUUUGAAUCUAAUGGUUAUGAAAAGAUGAAGUACAACUGAUAACUUAUCAAAAGGUUGACAUUUAUAUGAAGUUCAACCUAACUCUUAGAAAGAAAGCAAUCGUCUAAUCUGAUUAGGUGAUUGUCAAAAAGUGCAGUGGUUGAAGAAUGUUUUUUUUUCUACUUUGUUACAAACAAACCAGAGUAAAAACUGUAGAACCAAACAAUCUCUAAGUUGCCUUCUUAAAUACUCUUAACUGGAAUUGAUAACUUUAAGAGCUUCUUGAUAACAUUAAGAACCAAAUGUAUAAAUGAAUUAAAAUGGAAUUGAUAACAAAAAUAUAUAAUAUAUUAAGUGGCAAUGUUAGUUCAACUCUUAACUAGAAUUGAUAACUUUAAGAGCUUCUUGAUAACUUUAAGAACCAAACGUAUAAAUGAAUUAAAAUGGAAUUGAUAACAAAAAUAUAUAAUAUAUUAAGUGGCGAUGUUAGUUCAAUUGUGUAUCCUUAAAUGACAAUAAAAAUAUGAAUAAACAUAAAAUCAAGUGUUACCUAAAAUUUUAGACAUUAACAAAUCAAAAUAAAAUUGACACAUAUAAAUGUACAUUGCAUUGAGUAGAAAUAAUAACUUGUUCUUUAUAAUAGGAUAGAAUCAAUUUUGCUUUACAUUAAUAAUCUUUUGCUUUACAUUAACUUUAAAUGAUAACUUAUUUUGACAAAUAUAUUUUAAAUGAUAAGGUUGAAAACUCGAAUAGAAAUAAUUAAAUCUUAAAUUAAUUUGUCAAAUAUAAGUUGAAAUGUUAAUGUGAAUAGUAAUAAAUAUAAAUUCUAAUUGAAUUAUAUCUAUUCAAAAUGUAGAUAUUGAAAAGUCUACUCAAAAUAAUUCAACCUUAUAAAGAAAUGCUAAAUGCAAUCUAAUCUGGGUCAUUGAACACAUCUAAAGUAAUGCCAACUCCACAAGACAAUACCAAAUCCAUAUAGAAAGCAAAAGAGAAAACUCAAAAUUCACCCAGAAUACCACAUGUUAGUAAGGGGAAUUGCUACAGUAAAUUUGGACCUCUACUUAUCUUAUAGUAAGAUAAGAUAAGGUAUUUGAUAAUACGUUGUAGUAUAUUUUUAGUCCUUUAGAUAAACAUUCAAUUAAACACCUUGCAAGGGGACACUUUAUAGUUUUAUUCCCAGAAUCAACAUAGCGCUUAGAACAAGUAGUACCAAUGCCCACUGAUUUUAGUUCGGCCUAUCAAAGCCCAUCUCAUGUCGAGUUGGGCCACCGCAGUUUAGUACCACCACUACUCUUUUUCUUUCGUCAUUCCCCUGGUAACCUUCUCCUUCCCUGAAGCAUUCUCAGUAGCCCUUCGCGUUCUUCUUCUUCCUUAUGCAAGCUACACUCGUGCUUCUCAUUCACCCUCUUUUUCUACCUGCUGCUCUUUUAAGGGUCUUGAAGGGGACAAGUUUCAACUAGAGAUUUUGUAUGCAGGUUAGUUUCUUAUUGCUUUUGCUGUACUUUUCUUACUCUGUGAUGAUUUUGUUCAAUAGACUUCAUUUAUCAAUGUUCUUGGGAUGUUCUUGGCGGAUUGUCAUAGGCUUUCCAUUAAUCUUUUAGUAAAGUAGAAAUGUUUUUUGAUUUGAUCCUGAGUUGAAAUUGGUCGACUUUGACAAUUAGGCUGCAUGUUUUACUCAUUUGAUUCUUCCUGAAUUGUCCUCAGUCACCGAUUUUGGAGUCUCCGACUUGUAGGGUAUCGUUAUCAGAAUGGCCUGCCAAGUUUCGAUGAUGAAUUUUUGAAGCAUGGUUAAAAGAGAAAUUCAGUGCGUUGAUUAUUUUGCAGAGAUUUUAUUUAAAGCUGAAAAGUGCAAGAAUGAUGGCACUUUUUGCGAGCCUAGGUAUGCUGGUUGAAUUCAUUUAAUUCCUGAAUGUUUUCCCGUUCUUUCUAUUUCUUUAAUCAUGAGUUUGUUGAUUUACUGGAACUCUAAGUUUGUUUCUGGUAGCUCACUGAUCAUACUGAUCCUAAUUGGUACCGCAGGAUUAAUGUUUCAGUCUGCCUCAAGAUGCUUUCGUGUGAUUGCCUCUUACAGAAGCUUGUCAUUUUCAAGUAAUGGACCUUGCAAUCAGGAUGGUGGAUCAGCUUCUUUUGGAAAUGGGGUUAACCAAGAAUAUUUGGGAAAAUCAGAGGGUAUAUGGCAAGAAGCGGACAGAGUGUGCCUGAUCCUGGAGAGUGGAUCUUGGGGGCCUUCAGUUGAAAAUGCUUUAUCUACGUAUGAUGAAAAACGUCAUUCAGAACUAGUUAUUGGAGUCUUAAGGAGGCUGAAAGAUGUUCAACAAGCACUAAACUAUUUUCGGUGGGUUGAGAAGAAAACUGACGAAGCGCAUUGUCCUGAGGCAUACAAUAUGCUUCUCAUGGUAAUCGUGAAGAGUAAGAGGUUUGAUCAUGUGGAACAAAUUUUGGAAGAGAUGGGUCUUGCUGGGUAUGGCCCAUCCAACAGUACCUGUAUUCAGCUAAUAGAUAGCUAUGUCAAGACUCGAAAAUUAAGGGGAGCAUUUGAUUGUAUUCAGACAAUGAGGAAGUUAAAGUUUCGCCCUGCAUUUUCAGCUUACACUACCCUAAUUGGUGCCCUAUGUACUGUUAAUGAACCUGAUCUUAUGCGGGCACUCUUUCUUCAGAUGCAAGAAUUAGGUUAUGAAGUGAGUGUUCAUUUAUUUACAACUCUUAUACGAGUAUUUGCCAGGGAAGGUCGAGUUGAUGCUGCUCUCUCGCUUUUGGAGGAGAUGAAAAGCAACUCAUUGGAUGCAGACAUUGUUCUCUAUAAUGUGUGUAUAAACUGCUUUGGCAAGGUGGGUAAGGUGGAUAUGGCUUGGAAGUUUUUUCAUGAGAUGCAAGCUAAUGGAUUCGUACCUGAUGAAGUUACAUAUACGAGUAUGAUUGGUGUUCUCUGCAAGGGUAACAGACUGGAUGAAGCUGUGCACCUGUUUGAACAGAUGGAGCAGAAUAGGGCAGUCCCAUGCGCAUAUGCUUAUAGCACUAUGAUCAUGGGAUAUGGAUCUGCUGGAAAGUUUGAUGAAGCAUAUAGGUUACUUGAAAGGCAAAGGUUAAAGGGAUCCAUACCAAGUGUAAUUUCAUACAAUUCUCUUCUAACCUGCCUUGGGAAGAAGGGAAAAGUUGAUGACGCAUUAAGGAUCUUUGAGGAGAUGAAAAAAGAUGCAGCACCUAAUCGCACAACUUAUAAUAUCAUCAUUGACAUGCUUUGCAGGGAAGGACAGUACAUGGCUGCUUUAGACGUUCGAGAUGCCAUGAAAUUUUCAGGCUUGUUUCCCAAUGUAUUGACUGUAAAUAUAAUGAUUGACCGUUUGUGUAAGGCUCAGAAACUUGAUGAAGCUUGUUUUAUUUUUGAAGAAAUGGACCACAAACUUUGUAUGCCAGAUACAAGGACAUUUUGCUCUCUUAUAGAUGGCUUGGGUAGGCAUGGCAGGGUAGAUGAUGCAUACAGGUUAUAUGAGCAGAUGUUAGAUUCUGAUCGGGCUCCUGAUGCUGUUGUUUAUACAUCCUUGAUUAAGAACUUUUUCAGGUCUGGAAGGAAGGAAGAUGGGCACAAGAUUUACAAAGAAAUGGUUUCUAGAGGUGUUGCCCCUGAUCUUUUGCUCCUUAACACCUAUAUGGAUUGUGUAUUCAAAGCUGGUGAGACAGAGAAAGGCAGAGCUUUGUUUCAGGAAAUUAAGAAUCUGGGUUUUACUCCAGAUGUGCGGAGUUAUUCUAUUCUGAUUCAUGGUCUUAUAAAAGCAGGCUUUGCAUGCGAAACAUACGAGUUAUUUUAUACAAUGAAGGAAAGAGGGUGUAUUCUUGACACCCUUGCUUAUAACACGGUAAUUGAUGGAUUCUGUAAAUCAGGAAAGGUCAAUAAAGCUUAUCAACUGCUGGAGGAAAUGAAGGUGAAGGGUCAUGAACCUACUGUUGUCACUUAUGGUAGUGUUAUUGAUGGGCUUGCAAAGAUUGACAGGCUUGAUGAAGCUUACAUGCUUUUUGAAGAAGCAAAAUCCACAGGUGUGGAGUUAAAUGUGGUGGUUUACAGUAGCCUUGUAGAUGGGUUCGGGAAGGUGGGUAGAAUUGAUGAAGCAUAUCUGAUUAUGGAAGAAUUGAUGCAAAAAGGCUUGACGCCGAACACUUAUACUUGGAACUGCUUGAUUGAUGCUCUCGUGAAGGCUGAAGAAGUAGAUGAAGCUCUUGUCUGCUUUAAUUCGAUGAAAAACUUGAAUUGCAGUCCAGACUCAAUAACUUACAGCAUUCUCAUAAAUGGGCUUUGUAGGGUGCAAAAAUUCAAUAAAGCCUUUGUUUUUUGGCAGGAAAUGCAGAAGCAAGGUCUAAAACCCAAACUGAUUACUUAUACCACUAUGAUAUCUGGGCUUGCAAAGGCCGGAAAUAUACUAGAAGCUGAUAAACUCUUUGAAAGGUUCAAGGCAAAUGGAGGUGUACCUGAUUCAGCCUGUUAUAAUACUAUGAUAGAAGGGUUAAGCAUUUCAAAUAGGGCAUUGGAAGCUUACCAACUAUUUGAAGAGACUAGGUUAAGAGGUUGCAACAUAUACACAAAAACAUGUAUUGUUCUUAUGGACUCUCUGCAUAAGGCUGAAUGUCUUGAGCAGGCAGCAAUCGUGGGUGUUAUUCUGCGGGAAACAGCAAAGGCACAGCAUGCAUCUAGAUCAUUGUAACAAUGGAUUGGUUACUGUUAUUAGCGACUGAUCACAAUCUGAUGUGUAGUUUUUAUGUGUUUAUUUCUUUGAAUAGGUGGGCUAUCUGGACGCAUUAUUUUAAUAGUUUAGGGCAUAGCAAUAUAGGUCUAAAUUGGGGAUAGAAUCACACAGUUAACUACAUAAACUGGUUUUGAGCCUAUCCUCUAACUUUCCUCUUCCUUUUGUCUUUUUCCCUCAUCAGUUGCAAUUUCUGACUUCAUUUUAUGGCAUUGUGUUGCUUGUUUAAUUAGUCUUCUUCUAGUGUUCAUUCAACUGUUUUUUUUUUUUUUGGGAUCAAAGGUCAAUUUUCAUUACUGUAAACAAGGCUACAAAAGUGUGGAGUUAGUGGAGCAAAUGCCCCAAAAAGAUCAAACUGCCAUAUUCACAGCUGGAAGGUAUUAAACCAUUCCUCAUCUAGGUUAAUGUUUAAAACAUAAUCUGCUAAUCUAUUAGCUAUACUAUUUCCUAUUAGGAGCAAAAGAGAAGGAACAGAAGUGAAUCAAAGAACUGAGCAUAUUGAGGUCCUCGAGCAUGGAAGUCAGGUUAGCAUCUUGACUCCUCUUGGCUUUUAGUUGUGAACUAGUUGUUUGCUAGAGCAUGUUUGAUGUGAAUCCUAUGCCAUCCUGCUUCAAUAGCUUUAAUUAUAGAUAGUUUCAGUCCUUCGGUCUCAUCUUGGAUGCUGUUCCCACUUUUCCUUACAUUGAUUGCCCAACUAGCCUUGACGUGUUUCCUCCAGUCCAUAUCUACCACUCCAAACCCAAGUGAUUCAAAUUUGGAACUUGAGCGUGUAGCUAAGUCAAUGUCAAUCAUUUCUCUGUCCAUACCUCGGGGAAUCUGAUCCUCACUUUGGUCUAUUGAUUCAUUAGGGCUCCUCCUCGUUACAUUCCUUCCUACAUUCUCAUAUUCCAGCCAUUCCUGCCAAGCUUUCAUUAUUGUAUCCUGAAAUCCCCUUCUAAUCUCAGAGAACUGGGAUCUCAACUGUUAUCCAACUGCUUAUAAUUUCUAAUAACAUGUAUUUGACUCUUAGAUCAUGGUAUAGCUCAUGGUACUGCACAACGUCACCAAAAUAAUUUGGUGACAUAGUUUGACUUUCUCACAUUGCUAUUCCAUUCAAGAUUUGGUCCACUUCAUAGGGACAUGAAUAAUUAUUUUCAUGUUAUUGCAUUUACAUAAUAGUGCCAAAAGAAUUUGGUGAAGUAAACUGGGUGUUGCACCAGUUCUCUUUUUUAAACUUUCACUGCAGUUAAAGUUUAAAAGAAAUGUUUGUUGAUUGAUCAUGUCUCUCUACAAAUGAAUGUCAUGGACUUAGAUUUGUUAAUGAUUCAUAUCCACAUUUACUCUUUUGAUCCAUACAGUAUCAGGUACUUGACAACACCUUGGCUUUCAAGUCCACAUUUCCAUGUGACUUUUGUGAACUUCCUCAGGAGGUCCCUUGUUUAAUUACAAAAGCUGAAGUUUUGUUUCCUUGAAGACAUCUAAUUUGCAAUCUGAUUGUCAGAUUUCACUUUUGUUUCUUAAUUGUUUUCCAAUAAAUCUUAAUAUGGGGCCAUGAUAGAAAAUUAUUUACAGUUUUCCAUGGACACAAUGUUGACUAAUAGGUGGUUGAGGGAGUAGUCAUGUUCUUUGCUCCUGAGUAAUCACAGCAUUCUGGGUGUAUCCUCUUGUUGUCAAUGGCCAAAGUACUCUUAAGAAAACAUAGGUAAGCUUUCAUUCUUUUCCUUCAAGUAAAUCGUGUUGCUUGUUCUUGAUUGCACUGUCAUAUUGAAUUUUGCAUUUCAAUGGAUAAAUUUGAAUGUGAGAAACAUUUGUUUAGUGUGUCCUGAGAGGAGAGCAAGGAAAAGAAUAGAUGCCAACAUUUGUACCUUUUUUUUUUGUAAUGUAUACUUUGAAGAGAUCUAAUUAAUUGCGUUUUUGUGUGUGACAGAUUUUCAAAGACAUUGACAGGUAAUGAGAAACUUUGUGCGGUAUCUACUGAAAACUUUAUGCCAAGAAUCACUUAAAAGACUCGAUGAGUAAUUAUAAUUUGAAAGAAGAAUACUACAGUCUAGACAGUGGGGAAUUGACAUCUGCUCUUCAAUAAAGUUUGCUCAAGUUUGACAGGAAAAGGGAUGGUUGUUUCAGUAUUACAAAAAAUUAACAAGUAAUAUUGUGAAGGUUUUGCUUAUAAAAUUAUGAAGUCAUGGUAGUGAAUGAUUGGAUGCUUGUGAAAGCCAAUUAGAUGUAGAGUUUUCUAAGUUGCAAUAAGAUUGUUUAUGCUUUAUCAGAUACUUUGGUAAGUUUGAAGGUAAGGUCAGAAGCAGAUGACUCUGUCAAAUGGAGAUGAGAGACUACUGAAUUUAUGACUGUUCAAGAUCUGUGUGGUCUUGUCAAAGCAUUUAUAUAUCAACAGCUUAGGAGGAAAGUCUUUAAAAAUGUAGUAUAAAGUGGGAAUGGGGUUGCAAAAGGAUAGUCGUCUCUCAUGUGCCACUCAUGCAUCUUAUUUUUUUUGGCAUUUCUUACCAAAUAACGUGUUUCCAGAUUUUUAGGUAUUUGGUGAGAAUUUACUGGGUUCUGGCCUCAAGACAUCAAAAUCUGUCUCACUCUCUCCUCCCAAAAAUCAGUCGCAUCAUUUUCUUCUCUUCUUCUUCAGUUCUUCUUCUUCCUAAUUUCUUUUACCCCCUUGAAUCUGAUCUUCUUCUAACCAAUCUACCUAAUCAACAAACGAAAAAGUUUUUUCCUAGAGAUACUUGUACCUGCUCCGACUCUCUCUUGAAGAACAGAGGAAAAGCUGCUUAAGCUGAAUUAGGAAGAUGACUAAUCCAUCUCCAUCAUCCGAUCUGAAUAAUUUGUAAAUACAAUCACGGUAUUUUUUUUAUCCUUUUGCUGAUGUUUAAUAUAUAUAUAUAUAUAUAUAUAUAUAUAUGCACAUACAUAUAUUAUAUUUUUAUUGAUGAUUUAAUCUUUUCUUUUUUGGCUGUUUAACCACGGAAGAGAGAAGCUUUCAUCUUCUUCUAAUCUAAGAUGUGGAAUGAUCUGAUUUUUUUUUUUUUUUUUGCCUUUUAAACUGAUUUCGCCUUCCGUUUGUUCUUUUUUUUUUUGUGGUUUUUCUUAGAAUUUAUUGUUGAAAAAUAUGUAUUCAGCUAUUGGUUAUUUAUUUUUUUCUAAUUUAGGAUGGAGAAAUCAUGUAAAGGUAAACAUUUUGUACCAUAAUUUCUUAUUAUUUUCUUGUUGUAUGUUUUACCCGCAGUUUUUUCUUUCCCAGAUUUUUCCUUGACUUUAAGCACUCAAGCCAUUAUUGAUACAUGUCAGAAGGUUUCUUCACGCGUGAGUUUUAUAUCUUACUCUGAAACUAAAAAAAAAUGGUGAUAAAAAAGAUGUGAUAGCUUAACAUCCCAAACAAGGUUUUUAUUUAAGCAAAAAUAAUGAAAGGUGCAAAUGUGGAUUUGAGAUUUUUUUGUCCCUUAUAGUUUUGUUAUUAGUUUGAAAUUCCAGUGUUGUAAGUUCAAGUUUGAAGAUUUUGUCUUGGAUGACUAAUUUUACUUGAUGGGUUUUGUUUAUAUUUGAAGGAUUUCUGGUGAAAAGAUCAUAUUGGCCCUUGUGCAAUACAGCACAAUAUUACUUCAUUCCAUGAGUUUGUUCCCGACUUGUUUGUAGGAUUUAGAGUUUGCACCCUUUUUAGCAUGGUAAAUGUUUAAUGCAUUUUAAGGUGGUUUUACUCCCUAGCUGUAUUUUGCAUGGUUAAACAAAUAUAUUCCAAAAUAGGUUGGAAUUAUGAGGAGUCAACUCAAUAACUGCAUCGUUGAUCUUCUUUAAUUUGUUCCAAUUUGAAUUUGCUAAAGGAAUAGUGAAAGCUAAUAGGAUUGUUUAAAUGUACACCUUGUUUCUGGCAAAGGAAAGAUAAAUGAAGAAACUGUUUUAUGCUUUUUUCCUUAACCGUCUCUUCAGUUUAGUUUAACAGGUUUUCUUUGGUUGUAUGUAAUGUUACUUGCUUACUUUAUCUUGUAUUUAGUGUUUUAUUUCUUUUCUGUUGCUCUUGUUUUUGCCUCAGCACAGAGAACUGGCAAGGAAGGUAUGAUACUUGAAGCUGAUAAGAUGACUUUGAGUUUGAUUGUAAUAUAAAGUGGAAUAUGGUUGUCCUCUUGGGUGUCACUCAUGUGACUUCAUAGGUACUUGUGUUCCAAUUUGACAUUACAUUUUCUUUUGCUAGGCAGUGGUUGUUCUUAUGUAUACUUGAAGCUGAUAAAAUGACUUUUGAGUUUGAUUGUAGUAUAAGUGGAAUGAGCUGCUAGAGAAUGGUUGGGUUCUUGGGUGUCGCUCAUGUGACUUCAUAGGCACUUAUGUUCCAAUUUGACAUUACAUUUUCUUUUGCUAGAUAGUGGUUGUACUUAUGCAUAUCUUUAUCUUUAAAGUAUGUUUGAUAAAACUGAAAUCUAAAGUUUGAAUCUAUUACGUUAUUGAAAUUUUAAGUACUAAAUCUGAUAUAUUUGAGUGUAUAUCACAAUAAGUGAUAAAUGAAUAGCCUAUCACUUAUUUUUGGGAGCAAAUUUUGCCUAGAAAAUUCAGUGUCACUUAAAUAAUUCAAAUGUUUUAAUUUUGAUUAUCAAACGCAUCUGAACAUAUUAAGAUUUGAAUUCCAUUAAGUGUGAGUGCUGAAUUGAGUUAUCAAACAAGGCCUUAGAGUCUUUUAUCAUUUAAAUAAGUAUUUCCCAUUGAAAAAGAAAAUAGCAAGUAUGGUUUGGGUUCUUAUUGGUUUGCAUGUUUGAGUUUAUGACCAGGAUAUACAAAUGAGAUUGAGAGGAAGAUGGUACUUGCAGUGUAAUCUACUGCACAAAUUAGACUUGAAGUUGUAGCUGGAUAGAGAUCAAUUGAGAAAUUUUACAAUUCAAAUUAUACAGCAAGAGGUAUAUCUACACUUACUUUUGUUUUAUGCCUUAGUGGGCUUGAUUUUUUUUUUUAUAGGAUGGGAGAUUCUAUUUAAAAGACUCCAUAAUUUAUCAGAUUUUGUCUGUUCUUUCCCUUUUUUUUUUGUUUGGCCUUCUAACAAAAAAAAUGUAAAUUUGAAGGCACUUAAUCAGGUUGUACAUCUUCCCAUAAACUUAUGACUUUGAGUGUGCUGAUUUUCUUUUCUUUUAUCUUUUCCUGUUAUUUAUUUAACAUGUAAUUGAUGUUUAGACACAAAACGAGGGGAAAGGAAGAGAAAAACCUGAUAUAACUCACCAUACAUGUCCAUAUUCUAAGAUAACAGGGGCUUUAAUUGCCAAAUUUGCUACAGAAAAGGUCUUCGUUCUAAUUAAGCUUGCUGGAGCAUAGAGAAGUUUCUUACCGUUGUUUGCUUUUCUUGCCAAGAUGGUGGUCAAAUUUCAUUGUAUUAAUUUUCUUAAAGAGCAUCAGUAGCAUCAAAGACAACAGACAUCUGUUAUGUAGAGAACUGUUUUGCUCU
rnacentral:lncRNA from 1 species